rnacentral:tRNA from 1 species
GGUCCAUUCGUCUAGUGGUUAGGACGCCAGGUUUUCAUCCUGGUAACAGGAGUUCGAUUCUCCUAUGGACUGC